rnacentral:lncRNA from 1 species
CUACGCUCUGGCGACCUCUACUGGCGUCAAGAAGGACAGCAGUGUGCGGCUGGCUUGGCUUCUCUGCCUCAGGCUUCGUUUUGGAAAAGCCAGGUUACUCAUUUUACUCUCCUUUGGGUAAUAAGGAAGAGUUGAGUUAACACGUGCAGCGGAAAGAUCUCGGGCCUUGCUACAAGAUCCGAGUUCAAGUCCAGAAUUAACUUACAAUUAACAUAAUGGUGCUCCAGAUAGUUCUACCCUUGACAGUUUUUUUGAAAAAUAGAUUGCCUCUUAGAGGUUGCACUAUAAUUACACUUGGAGGAAAAAUGGGAUUUUUCCGAUCACAGAUUUUUUUUUUUUUAAGUUUGGGAUAUGCCAGUAAUUUUACUCUUGAAGAUAGAUGUCUUGUUUGUUCCCAGGGCAUUUUAUUCUAGAGUUGCUAUGCACGGACGUUUUACCCGUGAGGAGCAUAGGUUUGAUUUAAUGCCACAGCUGUUAUUCUAAAAAUGCCAUAUACACUUUCCUUUUAAAGAUUUUAUUUAAAAGCAACUUGGCAAGAUGACAUGCGGUGGGGAUCUCUACAAGAUCGCGAGUUAAAGUGUACUUGAUUAACUUUUGGAAGGGGAAAUGGAGAGGAAACAGUAAAAUGAGUUCACAAAUAGCUUUUGUAAACUUGUACUGAAGCAGAAUUUAAUAUCUGGUUUCUUUCCAAAAGAAAGGCCUUUAGAGAAGCAAAUUAUCUGCUUGGUUUUUCCUCUAAGGGCUAUUUAUGAAUGAAUUAUCUGUUUAGUGGUUAAAGUGCAAUUCCAGACUCUUAAGUUAGUGCAUAUUGUUUUACCCCUGAAACAGACCUCCCUCAAAGCAUCUUAAAUUUUUACUCCUCUGGUUCUAAUAUUAUAUUCAACUUUCAUAACUUUGUGAUAUGAAUUGGUAGCAAAUACUGUGUAAAACUGAAAAUUAAAAUGUGUAAAUCACAUAAUUUUGUAAUUAUGCAAACAUUUAACACGAUUUUAAUAACAAUCAGCAAAAUCCAGGCCAUUCUUAAGGAUCUGUGGGGGGAGGUGUUUGAGAAAUGCACCUGAUCAGACCUCAAUCCCAUUAUACCAUCUACCAAAUAAUGGCUUUUCCUUAUGCCUGAUGCUGCAAAGCAUUUCAUAUCGCCGUGAAAUUGAAAGUUUUACUCUGAGUUUGCCUUAAGAGCUCAAGUUAAUAAUUAAGUUACAUAGUGUAGUAUCUUUUGCCUUAAAGGCAUAGUUCUGUGUAGUGAAGAAAAUUCCACUUUUGAACAGCCGCUAAUACAAAUA